GAUGAGCGCUAGCGGCAGGCCUAACACAUGCAAGUCGAGGGGCAGCACAGGUAGCAAUACUGGGUGGCGACCGGCGGAUGGGUGCGUAACGCGUAUGCAACCUACCAUUGAUUGGGGCAUAGCCCGAAGAAAUUCGGAUUAAUACUCCAUAAUAUUCAUCAAAGGCAUCUUUUAUGAAUUAAAGCUUUUGCGAUCAAUGAUGGGCAUGCGUGACAUUAGUUAGUUGGUGAGGUAACGGCUCACCAAAACGAUGAUGUCUAGGGGUUCUGAGAGGAUUAUCCCCCACACUGGUACUGAGACACGGACCAGGACUCCUACGGGAGGCAGCAGUGAGGAAUAUUGGUCAAUGGACGCAAGUCUGAACCAGCCAUGCCGCGUGCAGGAUGACGGCCCUAUGGGUUGUAAACUGCUUUUCCACGGGAAGAACCCUCCGACGUGUCGGAGACUGACGGUACCGUGGGAAUAAGCAUCGGCUAACU
rnacentral:rRNA from 1 species